GGCAGUUAGAAGGUGGCUAUGAGCAGAGAGGGUCACAGUUGAUAUGAAGACAGUUGGAGAGACAGGUUAAGGGAUAGACACUGGUGUCAUGAGCAGAAUAGGGGCAUUGCUCAAGGAUGCUGGUUUGGGAAAGAGAAAAGCCCUGUAUCUGCCAGACUUGGGGCAAGAAGAAGCUGAAGGGGCACCCCAAGGGGCCACAGAGACUACCACGAUGUCGCAAAGUCACUGAAGCCCUGUCUGGGAAGGGAAGGGUUCAAGUAGAGAGGAGUCAUCGUGGCUUUGUGCAUCUGCUGAAUGCCAGGAUCCCAGAACGGAAGCGAUGUCAUCAGGCUUGGGAGCCGGCACCUUGACCCACCUCAUCACCUCGCCAGCCCAGUUAUUUUCUGAAACCAACAAACAUUAGAUUUGAAUAUAUCACCAACCUAUCAAAGAGACGUGCUUCUGAACACA